UUCACCUCUUCAGCAGGCCUGACCUUUGCUGUAACAUGUGAAUGUUGUUCCUUGGUUUAGACUAUGAGCCCCUUUUCCAGUUCACUGAUCUCGUACUGUAGCAACGUGUCUGAGGCAGAUCUCUGGAUCUUUGCAAUGAUGUGAAUACGGCAGUGUCAAUUUUGACACUGAAGUUCUGCCACCAUCAUGUCUUCAACAUCAGCAAUCAAAACAGGGUGGCUCCUGUAGUGUUGUGUCUAGAAACUAUAAUUUCCAUGAUGGACUGGGGAGGAGGAAAAAGUGAGAGGAAUAAACCUUACCUUUGUUGUUAUCAAGUCUUUUCUGAGUCUUCAUGAAAGGGGUACAGCCGCACCAGCUGCACGUGCAGGGCGCACCACCCCACCCGGGACAUGCUCCCGCACAUGAAGGCUCUGCAGAAGGACCAGCUGAACACUGGAGGGGUACCGAUAGCAGCACCUGGGAGCACUGCAAGCCCCUGCACCGCACCCUAGACCGCUGGGUGGAACUAGAUUUGGAGCUCCGGCGGCAGCAGCUUGCAUAGGGUCACGCCAUCUGUGCCCAUCUGCAGACUCUGGUGCAGAGCGUGCUGCCUCCUGCUGCUCCAGCACCUGCUGCCUCC